GGCCUCAAUCGCUCCGGUGGCCUAGAGGUUAGAGCAUCCAUCUCAGAUGAGGAAGGUCAUGGGUUCAAUCCCCAGUUGAGUCA